GUGCCAGCAGCCGCGGUAAUACCGGCAGCCCGAGUGAUGGCCGAUCUUAUUGGGCCUAAAGCGUCCGUAGCUGGGUCUGAAAGUCCAUCGGGAAAUCCACUCGCUCAACGAGUGGCCGUCCGGUGGAAACUCCACACCUUGGGACCGGAAGGCUCGAAGGGUACGGCCGGGGUAGGAGUGAAAUCCUGUAAUCCCGUCCGGACCACCGAUGGCGAAAGCACUUCGAGAAAACGGAUCCGACAGUGAGGGACGAAAGAAAGGAUCGCGAACCGGAUAAGAAACCCGUGUAGUCC
rnacentral:rRNA from 1 species